rnacentral:rRNA from 1 species
CUCGUAGGUGGCCAACUAAGUCAGACGUGAAAUCCCUCGGCUUGACCGGGGAACUGCGUCUGAUACUGGAUGGCUUGAGUUCGGGAGAGGGAUGCGGAAUUCCAGGUGUAGCGGUGAAAUGCGUAGAUAUCUGGAGGAACACCGGUGGCGAAGGCGGCAUCCUGGACCGACACUGACGCUGAGGAGCGAAAGCCAGGGAGCAAACG